UACGAAGGGGGCUAGCGUUGUUCGGAAUCACUGGGCGUAAAGCGCACGUAGGCGGAUGUGUCAGUCAGGGGUGAAAUCCCGGAGCUCAACUUCGGAACUGCCUCUGAUACAGCACGUCUUGAGUUCGAGAGAGGUGGGUGGAAUUCCUAGUGUAGAGGUGAAAUUCGUAGAUAUUAGGAAGAACACCGGUGGCGAAGGCGGCCCACUGGCUCGAUACUGACGCUGAGAGACGAAAGCUAGGGGAGCGAACAGG
rnacentral:rRNA from 1 species